CAGCAGCCGCGGUAAUACGGAGGGUGCAAGCGUUAAUCGGAAUUACUGGGCGUAAAGCGCACGCAGGCGGUUUGUUAAGUCAGAUGUGAAAUCCCCGGGCUCAACCUGGGAACUGCAUUUGAAACUGGCAAGCUAGAGUCUCGUAGAGGGGGGUAGAAUUCCAGGUGUAGCGGUGAAAUGCGUAGAGAUCUGGAGGAAUACCGGUGGCGAAGGCGGCCCCCUGGACGAAGACUGACGCUCAGGUGCGAAAGCGUGGGGAGCAAACAGGAUUAGAUACCCGGGUAGUCCCUGUCUCUUAUAU
rnacentral:rRNA from 1 species